GUUGGUGAGAAGGGGAAUGCGGCGGAUUUGUGGUUGGAGAGGGAGAUGAUGAGUGGAGAGGUUGGUUGGUUGGUUUUGGUUUCGGAUGAUCGGGAAUUUGCGGAGAUGUUGAGGAAGGUUAGGGAAGCGAAUUUGAAGACUGUUGUUGUUGGAGAUU